rnacentral:rRNA from 1 species
UACGUAGGUGGCAAGCGUUGUUCGGAAUUACUGGGCGUAAAGCGUGCGUAGGUGGUUUGUUAAGUCCGUUGUGAAAGCCCUGGGCUCAACCUGGGAAUGGCAGUGGAUACUGGCAAGCUAGAGUGCGGUAGAGGGUAGUGGAAUUCCCGGUGUAGCAGUGAAAUGCGUAGAGAUCGGGAGGAACACCAGUGGCGAAGGCGGCUACCUGGACCAGCACUGACACUGAGGCACGAAAGCGUGGGGAGCAAACAGG